CUAUGUAGAUAGGUCCAAAUUAAUUUUCUUCCAUAUAAAAAUGAAAUUUAGAAAUAAAAAUAUGUAAAGUAGUAUUUUUACCUAAUAAUUUUUUCAAAAUAAUAUUUGGUACAAAAAUACAAAAUUUAUCGUCAUAAUAUAUAAUCCACAUAAACAUCGGUAUUAUAGAGUUAUAUAUUAUAUAAUCCUAAAUUACAUUAAAUUAUUGAUAAAUUUUGUUAUAUAAACUAAAAUAUUUUAGUAUAGAAAAAAACCUGCACGGAUGUGCGGGUCAAGAUCUAGUUACCAUUAUUUGUGUAGACAAAUUUUAAUCGAUGGCAUUAUACGGUUGCAAUUAGAUUAUAAAACUAAAUGUUACCGUUGACUAUAUAUCACAGAAUACGUUAUGGUAUACAUCUAAUUUAGUAUGAAAAAGGUUGGAGGUUAGAGCAUACAUAUAUCCCAACCACCAAAAAAAAACCGGCAAAAGUGCGUAGAAACUUAUAAUUGUAUUAUCUCGACUACCUUGGUUUUACUACGAUAGUCGUUUGCUACCAAACACGCAUAUACAUGUAUCUAGUGAACUUUGCUUUACCUAUUUAAGUAGAUCGACUAGAUCCCCAUUUCUAUAAGUUCUUCAAAACAUAUCCCUUCAACAUAGAAAACGAUGUCUUUCACUCAAAUUCCGCGAAAGAGAGCAAGAAAGAAAAAAUCUCUGAAAGAGGCUGAUCAUAUACGACCUUGGUCGAUACCAAGUACUCUCCAUGGAAUAUUCAUUUGAGCAAGAUGUUGGCAUGAAAUUGCAGCGGUGAAGGACGAGCUGAAUCUAUAUCGAUACUACCUCGACCUCGAUCCUUCACGUUGUUAUUAAUUAAAUACAUAGUCACAGUCUCAUUGUCGACUAUAUAUUAAAUAAUACCGUGAAUGCAGAUUCAGGAAUAAAUUAAAAUAUUUAUUUAA